rnacentral:miRNA from 1 species
UAUUGGGUUGGCCAAAAAGUUUGUUCAAAUAUUUCUGUAAGAUGUUAUAAAAAACCUGAACGAACUAUUUGGCCAAUCCAAAUAAAU